rnacentral:rRNA from 1 species
UACGGGGGGAGCAAGCGUUGUUCGGAUUUACUGGGCGUAAAGGGCGCGUAGGCGGCCAUCGCAAGUCAAUUGUGAAAUCUCCGGGCUUAACUCGGAAAGGUCAACUGAUACUGCGAGGCUAGAGUGCGGAAGGGGCAACUGGAAUUCUCGGUGUAGCGGUGAAAUGCGCAGAUAUCGGGAGGAACACCAAUGGCGAAGGCAGCUCGCUGGGACGUUACUGACGCUGAGACGCGAAAGCGUGGGGAGCAAACAGGGAUUAAGAAACCCCGGU